CCGUAGCUCAGCUGGAUAGAGCACCAGACUACGAAUCUGGGGGCCGGAGGUUCGAAUCCUUCCGGG
rnacentral:tRNA from 3 species